rnacentral:rRNA from 1 species
CCCUUAGAUGUUCGGGGCCGCACGCGCGCUACACUGAAGGAAUCAGCACGUCUUUCUCCUUGUCCGAAAGGACUGGGUAACCCGCUGAACCUCCUUCGUGCUAGGGAUUGGAGCUUGUAAUUCUUCCCCAUGAACGAGGAAUUCCCAGUAAGCGCGAGUCAUAAGCUCGCGUUGAUUACGUCCCUGCCCUUUGUACACACCGCCCGUCGCUACUACCGAUUGGAUGGUUUAGUGAGAUCCUCGGAUUGGUCCCGGAGCGGCCUCUGGUCGUGCCGGAGUGCCGAAAAGAAUGUCGAACUUGAUCAUCUAGAGGAAGUAAAAGUCGUAACA